AUGCCAUGGUGAGGACAUUUUCUCAGCAACUCUAUCUACCAAUCCCAAGCAUCAGAAUCUGCUUCAUCAUCCAAUUGUCUGAAAGUAUGGAUUUUAUUUAUGGACUU